GCGGAAGCGCGCGUGCGCAGAUGGGCGGUGACGGAGUGACGUUCGGAGUGUAGGCCGCCACUCUCACGGAUCCGGUUCCGCCCUCUCUCUCUCUAGCUGCCGACCCUUCGGGGCUACCGCUCGCGAUCCCUUUCCCAGAGUGCCCUGCGCAGUGAAGAAGCGGCUCCCGGGGACUGGGGGCAUUUUGUGUUGGUUAGAGCCGGAGUAACAAGAUGGCGGCGUCGGCGGAGUGACAGGGGUCUUUCCGGGCUGGAGUCGCGGCAGUGGUGGCAGCGAUCUCGCCGCCCUAAUUCACCGCGCCCUUAUUCCAGCCCGCGACGUUGCUGUGAAAGCGAAGCAGCGGCUGCCGCUCGGAAACAUAGCCUAACCUAAGUAACAGCAAGAAACGCCUCACAAACUGCGGCCUGGCCAAAAAGAAAAGAAAAAAAAUCUGACUGAGCGACGGCGAUCGGGUUUCCCUUGGCGGAUUCUGGGCCCUGUAACGCCAGGAAAGGCCUCCAGUUUCCAGUUCCUGCGCCGUCCUUCAUAGCCGUGCUCAGUGGACGAGCCCCAGGGCCUCCGUCCUCCCCUCAGGCGUCGGGGCUCGGCCCCAGGCUCCAUCUUCGUCUCCCAGCAUGGCGAGCAGCAGCGGCUCCAAGGCCGAAUUCAUUGUCGGAGGGAAAUACAAACUGGUGCGGAAGAUCGGGUCUGGCUCCUUCGGGGACAUUUACCUGGCGAUUAACAUCACCAACGGCGAGGAAGUGGCAGUGAAGCUAGAGUCUCAGAAGGCCAGGCAUCCCCAGUUGCUGUACGAGAGCAAACUCUAUAAGAUUCUUCAAGGUGGGGUCGGCAUCCCCCACAUACGAUGGUAUGGCCAGGAAAAAGACUAUAAUGUGCUAGUCAUGGACCUACUGGGACCCAGCCUUGAAGACCUCUUCAAUUUCUGUUCAAGAAGGUUCACAAUGAAAACUGUACUUAUGUUAGCUGACCAGAUGAUCAGUAGAAUUGAAUAUGUGCAUACAAAGAAUUUUAUACACAGAGACAUUAAGCCAGAUAACUUCCUAAUGGGUAUUGGGCGUCACUGUAAUAAGUGUUUAGAAUCUCCAGUGGGGAAGAGGAAAAGAAGCAUGACUGUUAGUACUUCUCAGGACCCAUCUUUCUCAGGAUUAAACCAGUUAUUCCUUAUUGAUUUUGGUUUGGCCAAAAAGUACAGAGACAACAGGACAAGGCAACACAUACCAUACAGAGAAGAUAAAAACCUCACUGGCACUGCACGAUAUGCUAGCAUCAAUGCACAUCUUGGUAUUGAGCAGAGUCGUCGAGAUGACAUGGAAUCAUUAGGUUAUGUUUUGAUGUAUUUUAAUAGAACCAGCCUGCCAUGGCAAGGACUCAAGGCUGCAACAAAAAAACAAAAAUAUGAAAAGAUUAGUGAAAAGAAGAUGUCCACUCCUGUUGAAGUUUUAUGUAAGGGGUUUCCUGCAGAAUUUGCCAUGUACUUAAACUAUUGCCGUGGGCUGCGCUUUGAGGAAGCCCCAGAUUACAUGUACCUGAGGCAGCUAUUUCGCAUCCUUUUCAGGACCUUGAAUCACCAAUAUGACUACACAUUUGAUUGGACAAUGUUAAAGCAGAAAGCAGCACAGCAGGCAGCCUCUUCCAGUGGGCAGGGUCAGCAGGCCCAAACCCCCACAGGCAAGCAAACUGACAAAACCAAGAGUAACAUGAAAGGAACAUGGCUGAUCACUUAGCAACCAAAUCCAAAUCACGGGGGAAGACCUUGAAAUAAUUGAAGAUGAUCUGCUCUGAAUUCACUCAUUCCAAAGAAGUACCGGUCAACUUCAUCUUCUUACUGAAAUCUUGAAUUUUUGUCAGCUUUUUUCACUGUGAACAGUAAAGCUGGAGAGAAAAGAAUUAAGUAACCCAACAGAAAAAUAAAGAUGAGUGUGCCAAGAAUUGAUUUGUGUUGACCUACAGCCCAUGUCUCUAAGGCUUGCCUGGCCCAUCAGAUUUUCAGCAUGUGGGAUUAUCUGGAUGACUCUACAACUUUCAGACCUAGAAGAAUAAAAGUGUUGCAGUGAUUCAGCGGUGUAUAAUGCAGAACAUCCACCAGUUGAAGAAGGAUUCAAUUGUAACAGGAACAAAGGGAUUCAUCCUUCAUUUUAAGAUGUUACUGUGAAGAUACGUUUUUGAAUUUUGGGAACCAGGAGAUGUCAUUCAGAUUGCAAGAUAAAAAUGAAAGACUAAAGCACAGAAAUGUUUGUUAGUAAUUGAAGAUUGAAUGUUGGAUACCUGUUGAAUCUUCCUUUUGAGAUUUUACCUACUUCAGUAACUCUUUGAACAAUUCAUUGGAGAAAACCAUUGAUCCUGGGUGGAGUGUCCCUCCACUGGCUCAUCUGAAGAGUUAAAUCUGGAUUUGACUGCUGUACUUUCAGAAUAUUGUUAGACCAGCUUCAGCCAGUCUUCUUAGACACUUGUAAUCACCUAGCAAUUCUGAACAGAUACAUUUCUUAUCUAGAGCUUUCCUGUUAUUACAAACCAGUUUCCUAAGAUUGU